rnacentral:snRNA from 1 species
GCUGCCCUGGCAGCACAUAGAACAAACUGGAAGUAUCCAGAGAAGAUCAUCAUGGUCCUUGCACAAAUUCACGAGGCAUUCCAUAUUUUA